GAUGCAGACCAACUAACUACAAGGAAAUACAGCACACAACAGAACUAUAUAACAAGGACCAAAGAAAGAGCAAGAAGAAUCCUGGCCCGGAAUUCCAGAAGAUCCAUCCUGAGGCCAAAAGGGAAGCAAAGGUAAUGGCACAUUCCGAAUAAUCAGGCUGUCAAAUGAAAUUCCAAUCCAUCUGAUUAGCACAGAGACAAGUUCAUAUGCCUUUUUGUCACUGUGGAUUGAGUGGAUUAGCUGUCAAUUUAUCCAAAGUCAGCCACAUCCUAACCUCCUCCCUGAGAUCUGGCCAAACUCUGGGUCACGUUGUCCUGGACGAAAAUAAAGCAGUGAAAAGAAACAAUGUCCAGCUUUGCAUCUUUGGCUUUGGCUUUAACCUUGGAGAUAGGACACUAAUUGAUUUCAAAAUGGCACGGACAUUUGG